AGCAACCUGCCCGUUUCCCCGGACGCGCCGAGGACGAAACAGCUCUUGUUCUGCUGCCGGAAGUCUUCCUCCAGGGUCUUCAUGUCCUCAGCCAUGCUGAUGCUGUGGGCCACAACAAAUCAGCUGCUCUUGUUUACAUCGUGCACCGGUGCAGGAUUCCGAGCCUUUCGAACAUCACCUGCCGCAGCUGGAGCGGCUGUGAAGAACAUAUAGGAAGAUCAGAGAAGAGAAAGGGAGUCAAUGAAUCAAAGUCCACUGUGCCACUGCUGGAAGAAAAGGUCUGACAGACGUCAUGAUCCUGAGCAGCAGCGGUGUAAUCCAGCGUCGUCGCCAAUGUACUGAAGUGGCCCAUAACCCCCGCCAAGCAACAGUGCAAGACGGACACGACUCGGGAGAAGCUUCCACAAAUGGAAUUAUUGAAUUUAGCAGCGAUAUGAUGGACAGAUCGCCCCUUAACCUAAUUAUUAUGAUUUGAUUUCGGUACAGAUCUGAAAUUCAGAUUUUGUUGCAUUUCAAAGAAAUUGUUGUUUUUUUUUGGUCUCCAGUCCGAAAAGAAAUCUGGGACGACCCAAGUUUGCUGCUAAAGAGCGCCGUUGCAUUCAUGUUUCAUUUUUUCGUUCACAGGCAAAACAGAUGCUAAACGAUAAGAAAGCUUAUUCAUUCUAUUAUUUAUUUAUGCAUUCAUGAAGGAAUACAUUCAUUAAUUUGAUUCAUUCCCUUAAGAAAUUAACUCAGGAUUAAGGUUUGUUUUGCGAGA